CACGUAGUUAGCCGUGGCUUCCUCCUCAGGUACCGUCAUUAUCGUCCCUGAAGACAGAGCUUUACAACCCGAAGGCCGUCAUCACUCACGCGGCGUUGCUGCAUCAGGGUUUCCCCCAUUGUGCAAUAUUCCCCACUGCUGUCUCCCGUAGGAGUCUGGGCCGUGUCUCAGUCCCAAUGUGGCCGAUCACCCUCUCAGGUCGGCUACGCAUCGUCGCCUUGGUGAGCCGUUACCUCACCAACUAGCUAAUGCGCCGCGGGCCCAUCUCAUAGCGGAUUACUCCUUUAAUUGCUACUUCAUGCGAAGCUACAAUCUUAUGCGGUAUUAAUCUCCCUUUCGGAAGGCUAUUCCCCUCUAUGAGGUAGGUUGCCCACGUGUUACUCACCCGUUCGCCGCUAGCUUUGUCCGAAGACUCCACUCGCUCGACUUGCAUGUGUUAGGCACGCCCGCCAGUCCGUUCGUCCUGUCGCCAGGAUCCAAACGUCUCUCGA
rnacentral:rRNA from 1 species